UAGGGAAUCUUCGGCAAUGGACGAAAGUCUGACCGAGCAACGCCGCGUGAGUGAAGAAGGUUUUCGGAUCGUAAAACUCUGUUGUUAGAGAAGAACGACGAGGAGAGUGGAAAGCUCCUUGNGUGACGGUAUCUAACCAGAAAGGGACGGCUAACUACGUGCCAA
rnacentral:rRNA from 1 species